rnacentral:rRNA from 1 species
GUGCACCAGGCGAGAAACCUCCUCAAUGCACUCACGUGCGAAGGGGUUACCUCGAGUGCCGCCUGAAGAAGGCGGCUUUUCCAUGGUCUAAAAAGCCUAGGGAAUAAGAGGGGGGCAAGACUGGUGUCAGCCGCCGCGGUAACACCAGCCCCUCGAGUGGUGGGGAUGAUUAUUUGGCCUAAAGCGUCCGUAGCCGGCCGGGUAAGUCUCCCGUUAAAUCCAGCGUCUCAAGCGUUGGACUGCGGGGAGAUACUGUCUGGCUAGAGAGUGGGGGAGAGGU